GCCUGCGUGGCAUAGUGGUUUGAGUUUUGGACUACAACUCUGGAUAGCAGGGUUUGAUUCCCAGCUUGGCUA